CGUGUACUGCCUCCGUCCGAAAAUACUUGUUUUCAAAAUGGGUAAAAAGGGAUGUAUCUAGAACUAAAAUACAUCUAGAUAUAUUCCCUUUUAUUUAUUUUGAUGACAAGUAUUUCCGGACGGAGGGAGUAUAAU
rfam:Triticum aestivum genome assembly, contig: Triticum_aestivum_CS42_TGACv1_scaffold_112071_2AS